rnacentral:rRNA from 1 species
GACGAACGCUGGCGGCGUGCCUAAUACAUGCAAGUUGAGCGCACAAGGUUGGUACUUGUACCAACUGGAUUAGCAGCGAACGGGUGAGUAACGCGUGGGGAAUCUGCCUUUGAGCGUGGGACAACAUUUGGAAACGAAUGCUAAUACCGCAUAAAAUCUUUAAACACAUGUUUUAAGUGUGAAAGACGCUAUUGCUUCACUCAAAGAUGAUACCGCGUUGUAUUAGCUAGUUUGUGAGGUUAAGGCUCACCAAGGCCAUGGUACAUAGCCGGCCUUGGGAGGUGGUUGGCCACAUUGGGAAUGAGAAACGGGCCAAACUCCCACGGGAGGGAGCAGUAGGGGAACUUCCGCCAUGGAAGAAAAUCCGGCCGGGCAAAGCCGCGGGAGUGAAGAAAGUUCUCGGAUCGGAAAAAUCUGUUGAUUGAGAAGGACGUUAGUGGGAGUGAAAAGCGCACAAAGUGACGGUAACUACUCAGAAAGGGACGGCUAACUACGUG